AGUGAACGCUGGCGGUAGGCCUAACACAUGCAAGUCGAACGGCAGCACAGUAAGAGCUUGCUCUUACGGGUGGCGAGUGGCGGACGGGUGAGGAAUACAUCGGAAUCUACUUUUUCGUGGGGGAUAACGUAGGGAAACUUACGCUAAUACCGCAUACGACCUACGGGUGAAAGCAGGGGAUCUUCGGACCUUGCGCGAUUGAAUGAGCCGAUGUCAGAUUAGCUAGUUGGCGGGGUAAAGGCCCACCAAGGCGACGAUCCGUAGCUGAUCUGAGAGGAUGAUCAGCCACACUGGAACUGAGACACGGUCCAGACUCCUACGGGAGGCAGCAGUGGGGAAUAUUGGACAAUGGGCGCAAGCCUGAUCCAGCCAUACCGCGUGGGUGAAGAAGGCCUUCGGGUUGUAAAGCCCUUUUGUUGGGAAAGAAAAGCAGCAGGUUAAUACCCCGCUGUUCUGACGGUACCCAAAGAAUAAGCACCGGCUAACUUCGUG
rnacentral:rRNA from 1 species